UUUGAUCGGACCUGGUUCGGGAAUUUGAUCCUCUAUCCAGGGCUUUACAGCCAGUCCAAUUUUGAUCAAAGAGAACUGUUGAAUGGUGACCAUCGGUCAUCAACUAGUCUACUUGAUCGGAAUUGGUUCGGAAUUUGAUCGUGUAUCGAGACCUAUACAACAAAAAAGCCUUAUUUUGACCCAUAGAACACGCUCCUGCAGUCUGGCCGUAUUAUUCUUAAUCUCAUACGCCUUCUAUCAUAUCUGUUUAGAGACUGCAACCAGUCGAUUCGAUCGGUUAAUCGACCUGCAUUGGUACCUGAGCCAAGGCAUGUCCUCGAUCAACAAGGUUUAUGGAUUCAAGCUGGGUAUGCUCCUGUUCUACUUGUUCUAUCGUUUGCUCAUCAUCCCUCACGUCAUGUCGAUUCUCAUCACCACGACUGAGGAUGGACUUUCGAUGAAAGUUUGGUGGUUCAUGUACCAUGCCUGCCAGCUCGCCUUGCUAGUGCUGCCCGCUGCGGAUAGUGCUAAAAACGGAGAAACGUUGUUAAAAACGAUAUGUCGGGGCCUUGGCACAAGCACGCAUGUCGCACAAGACCAAGUAAGUGCGCAGCUGGAACUGGUAACUAGUCGCUAUUCCUUAUUUGUGUGA
rnacentral:lncRNA from 1 species